rnacentral:rRNA from 1 species
AUUGAACGCUGGCGGCAGGCCUAACACAUGCAAGUCGAACGAGUGGCGGACGGGUGAGUAAUGUCUGGGAAACUGCCUGAUGGAGGGGGAUAACUACUGGAAACGGUAGCUAAUACCGCAUACCAUCAGAUGUGCCCAGAUGGGAUUAGCUUGUGGGUGGGGUAACGGCUCACCAAGGCGACGAUCCCUAGCUGGUCUGAGAGGAUGACCCGCCACAGUGGAACUGAGAAAGGGUCCAGACCCCUCCGGGGGGCAGCAGUGGGGAAUAUUGCACAAUGGGGGAAAGCCUGAUGCAGCCAUGCCGGGUGUAUGAAGAGGGCUUUCGGGUUGUAAAGUACUUUCAGCGGGGAGACGUUACCCGCAGAAGAGGCACCGGCUAACUCCUUGCCAGCAGCCGCGGUAUUC